CCAAUAGCGUAUAUUAAAGUUGUUGCAGUUAAAAAGCUCGUAGUUGAAUUUCGGGGUUAGUAAGUUGGUUGUGCCACUGGUAUGUACUGGCUUUACUGAUUCCUCCUUCUUGUAGAACCGUAAUGCCAUUAAGUUGGUGUUGCGGGGAAACAGGACUGUUACUUUGAAAAAAUUAGAGUGUUUAAAGCAAGCUAACGCUUGAAUACAUUAGCAUGGAAUAAUGAAAUAGGACGUUCGAUCCUAUUUUGUUGGUUUCUAGGAUUGACGUAAUGAUUAAUAGGUAUAGUUGGGGGAAUUAGUAUUCAAUUGUCAGAGGUGAAAUUCUUGGAUUUAUUGAAUACUAACUACUGCGAAAGCAUUUGCCAAGGAUGUUUUCAUUAAUCAAGAACGAAAGUUAGGGGAUCGAAGACGAUCAGAUACCGUCGUAGUCUUAACCAUAAACUAUGCCGACUAGGGAUCGGAUGAUGUUAAUUUUAUAAUGACUCAUUCGGCGCCUUACG
rnacentral:misc_RNA from 1 species